UUUCACUACAAAUCUAUGUACCCAAAAAACAACAAAAAGAUGCCAAAACUCCCAUCCCAACACUAGGAAUCUGCAGUAGGCCCUCCACUGUCAUGUUUCCUAAACUAGAUCUUCUCUCUUUUGGAUCUUGCUUCAACUUCUAGGUCUCUUAGUUUUGUAAUAUGUUUCCCCUUCUAUGUUUAGUCUUUGGGCAGCAGGCCCUCACCUGACACCUUGCUUUGGCUACCCUCAGAAUGUAUUCCCCCUUGCCACUUUGUAGAACCUCCUACUUGCUCUUGAUCAACAUUAAAUGUUUGUGUGGACUUUUGUGUUGGAGCCUCUUGUGUUGGAGCUUCAUGUGUAGACUCUUGUGUUGCAGCUGUUGAAGUCUGUUGAACCUUCUUGGCCCUCUUAGCUCCUGGCUCCUUGUUGAGUUUCUGAAAAUAGACAAACAGAAAUGUAUGAAACUCAACAUACAUUAAUGAUGUUCCACAUUAUAUUUCAUAAAUAAAUAUAAACAGGCAUCUUAACUUACUUGAGGACAUCCUCUUGAAUUGUGACCCUAUUCCUUGCAAAAACCACAUCUCAAUGAUGUUCCUUUCUUCUUCAAUCUUGUACCUUUUGGACAUGAUUCUGGAAUAUCAUUAUCUUUUCUCCUAACAACUUUAGGCCUGCCUACAUGAGUAUGUUUAACUGGUGGCAAAGGUGGCUCAACACCAGUUGGAUCCCACUCAGAUCUGUGCCUUACAGUGUGGCGCCCCCAAAACAGGUAUACAUCACCCAUCUUGAGUCGCCAAAUACAUGGUACAUAAAUCAAAUACAAACUUAAUUAUAUAACUGUCGGGUAAUAUACGACAAAACAUAGUUGAGAGUUUAAACAAGAAUAUUGCCUUCUAGACAAUAUCCACUCUCAAUGGAGUCCUCAUUACAUUUAUUGUCACAAUAUUUUAUAGAAUAGUGAGGACUACUAAAACAACCAUCUGGACCGUCAAUCCGUUCCCCGACUCGUCCCAGCUAUAUUCUCAUUUCCUGAAGAGAACAGUGGAAGAAAGGGUGAGCUCAACUAGCC
rnacentral:lncRNA from 1 species